GUAGAGGGGGGUAGAAUUCCAGGUGUAGCGGUGAAAUGCGUAGAGAUCUGGAGGAAUACCGGUGGCGAAGGCGGCCCCCUGGACGAAGACUGACGCUCAGGUGCGAAAGCGUGGGGAGCAAACAGGAUUAGAUACCCUGGUAGUCCACGCCGUAAACGAUGUCGACUUGGAGGUUGUGCCCUUGAGGCGUGGCUUCCGGAGCUAACGCGUUAAGUCGACCGCCUGGGGAGUACGGCCGCAAGGUUAAAACUCAAAUGAAUUGACGGGGGCCCGCACAAGCGGUGGAGCAUGUGGUUUAAUUCGAUGCAACGCGAAGAACC
rnacentral:rRNA from 1 species